CGAAAACAUUCAAAACAAAAACACUCGAAACGAAAAUAAAAUAUUCACCACCGCCUCGCUUUCCAACAUCGUCUUUACAAGGAAUGUCCAGCAGUGCAUGACAGAGGCCGGUCACUCCCAUUAAGUCCAGCUGAAGAGCUUCCCAAAGACAGUUCAAAGGACAAAAUGCAGUUACACAGAUUUUAACUGUGUUGGAAACAAUGAGAGAUGAGAGCAGGGAAAUGAAGCGGAUGCUGCAGCGGCUCUUGGCUAGGUCAGCUACUGAUGACAAGCCAAUGCAACUGCCAGAUCAGUCUUCCAAUUGGAACAUUUGAGCAAUUGGAUGAGUUUGAAGAGCAUCUUGGUGAUGAAGCUACGAUCCAUCUUUUCUAGGACUGCUGCAUAGUUCAAGCUUUUUUAUCAAAUAUAUUGAGCAAUGUUGUAAAUGUAAUGGACAGUUUUUUCUCCAUUGAUCCUAAACCAUUCCUUUUAAGGCUCAUCUUCUAAGAAAAGGCUUUUAAGCAUACAAUCUUUUUUAUCAGGAAAUGAAAUAGUAUAUACUUGUAUUCCUUUGCAAAAGAAGAAGCAGCAUUGCAGUUUUUCAAGGUUAUAAAAGACAUAUAUAUGAUGCGCAAUUACGAAAAAAAAAAGAAUGUAUGAAGAUAUCAAAGAUAAUAAUAUGGACUUGUUCUCGAAAAAGGAUUUGCAAUUUGUUUGAGUUUUGGAUUUUUCUGCAGGGUUUUAAUUUGUAGUUUAUAAAAUAUUUUGUUCGUUUUGUUUAGUCUUGCAAGUAUGUUUUCUACGAAUGUUCUUUGAGUACACGGUGUGUUAUUUGUAUUGGUUAAAGAUUUAAUAUGCAUGGGUAUGCUUUUGAGUUAUGUGUAGUACA